rnacentral:rRNA from 1 species
CAAUAGCGUAUAUUUAAGUUGUUGCAGUUAAAAAGCUCGUAGUCGGAUUUUGGCUGAGAACGAUCGGUCCGCCGUUAGGUGUGCACUGAUUGGUCUCAGCUUCCUGGUGAGGAGGUGUGCUUCACGGCCACUUAGUCACCGUGGUUACUUUGAAAAAAUUAGAGUGUUCAAAGCGGGCUUACGCUUGAAUAUAUUAGCAUGGAAUAACACCAUAGGACUCCUGUCCUAUUUCGUUGGUCUCGGGACGGGAGUAAUGAUUAAGAGGAACAGUUGGGGGCGUUCGUAUUUCAUUGUCAGAGGUGAAAUUCUUGGAUUUAUGAAAGACGAACUUCUGCGAAAGCAUUUGCCAAGGAUGUUUUCAUUGA